rnacentral:rRNA from 1 species
AUUGAACGCUGGCGGCAGGCUUAACACAUGCAAGUCGAGCGGGGUGAUGGUGCUUGCACUAUCACUUAGCGGCGGACGGGUGAGUAAUGCUUAGGAAUCUGCCUAUUAGUGGGGGACAACAUCUCGAAAGGGAUGCUAAUACCGCAUACGUCCUACGGGAGAAAGCAGGGGAUCACUUGUGACCUUGCGCUAAUAGAUGAGCCUAAGUCGGAUUAGCUAGUUGGUGGGGUAAAGGCCUACCAAGGCGACGAUCUGUAGCGGGUCUGAGAGGAUGAUCCGCCACACUGGGACUGAGACACGGCCCAGACUCCUACGGGAGGCAGCAGUGGGGAAUAUUGGACAAUGGGGGGAACCCUGAUCCAGCCAUGCCGCGUGUGUGAAGAAGGCCUUAUGGUUGUAAAGCACUUUAAGUUGGGAGGAAGGGCAGUAAGCUAAUACCUUGCUGUUUUGACGUUACCGACAGAAUAAGCACCGGCUAACUCUGUGCCAGCAGCCGCAGUAA